AACAGGAUUAGAUACCCUGGUAGUCCACGCCGUAAACGAUGUCGACUUGGAGGUUGUGCCCUUGAGGCGUGGCUUCCGGAGCUAACGCGUUAAGUCGACCGCCUGGGGAGUACGGCCGCAAGGUUAAAACUCAAAUGAAUUGACGGGGGCCCGCACAAGCGGUGGAGCAUGUGGUUUAAUUCGAUGCAACGCGAAGAACCUUACCUACUCUUGACAUCCAGAGAACUUAGCAGAGAUGCUUUGGUGCCUUCGGGAACUCUGAGACAGGUGCUGCAUGGCUGUCGUCAGCUCGUGUUGUGAAAUGUUGGGUUAAGUCCCGCAACGAGCGCAACCCUCAUCCUUUGUUGCCAGCGGUUCGGCCGGGAACUCAAAGGAGACUGCCAGUGAUAAACUGGAGGAAGGUGGGGAUGACGUCAAGUCAUCAUGGCCCUUACGAGUAGGGCUACACACGUGCUACAAUGGCAUAUACAAAGAGAAGCGACCUCGCGAGAGCAAGCGGACCUCAUAAAGUAUGUCGUAGUCCGGAUUGGAGUCUGCAACUCGACUCCAUGAAGUCGGAAUCGCUAGUAAUCGUGGAUCAGAAUGCCACGGUGAAUACGUUCCCGGGCCUUGUACACACCGCCCGUCACACCAUGGGAGUGGGUUGCAAAAGAAGUAGGUAGCUUAACCUUCGGGAGGGCGCUUACCACUUUGUGAUUCAUGACUGGGGUGAAGUCGUAACAAGGUAACC
rnacentral:rRNA from 1 species